rnacentral:tRNA from 1 species
UGGAGAGGUGUCCGAGUGGUCGAAGGAGGCGGUCUUGAAAACCGUUGAACCGCAAGGUUCCGUGGGUUCGAAUCCCACCUUCUCCGG